rnacentral:rRNA from 1 species
GGGUUAGCAAGUUGGUCGUGCCAAUGGUAUGCACUGGCUUUGCUGAUUCCUCCUUCUUGUAGAACCGUAAUGCCAUUUAGUUGGUGUUGCGGGGAAACAGGACUGUUACUUUGAAAAAAUUAGAGUGUUUAAAGCAGGCUAACGCCUGAAUACAUUAGCAUGGAAUAAUAGAAUAGGACAGCGGUUCUAUUUUGUUGGUUUCUAGGACCGAAGUA